AAAUAAAAAAAUUAGAACAAAGCCUGUUGUAGAACAAUUACUCAAUAAAUGAUAGUUUUUGCUGUCAUUAUUCCUCCUCAUCUUGUUCCUUCUCCUCAUGAGCAAGCUGGAGACUCAUUCCCUAAUCUUAAGAAUUGGAAGAGUCUACGAUGCCUAGGAUCAGGCUUGAGACCCAAGAAAAACUGAUGUUUCAGGUUGGAGUUGAAGGUAAGAUAAGACCAGCAUCAAAACUGAAGGCAGUCAAGGAGGAGGAAUUCCUUCUUACUUAUUGGAAGGUCAGUCAUUUUUGUUUUAUUUAGACCUUGAACUGUUUAGAUCAGGUCCACUGACAUUAGGGAGGGCAAUGUGCUUUACUCAGUUUAAUUCAUUCAUUAAAAUGUUAAUUUCAUUGAAAACCCCCCUCACAGAAACAUCUAGAAUAAAAUGUGUUUAGGUAUCUACGCAUCACCUGGCCUAGUCAAGUUGUCAUAGAAACUUAAUGUACCAGUCAGCCCUCACAUCACUGGGACAAAAUACCUGACAAGCACAAUUUAAAGGGGGAGAAGUUUAUUUGGCUCAUCCUUUCAGAGGAUUCAGUCCAUAGUUGGCUGGCUCCAAGGUAGAAAUGGCAUGGCAGAAGGGCAGGAAGGAUAAAAGUCACUCAAACCAUGGAGCUUAGAAGUAGAGAGAGCAGGAAAAGCAAGAGUGAGAUCAAGAGACCCUCCAAAUGGACAUUUCAAUGACCCACCUCCUCCAGCCUGGCUCCAAGUGCUAUCAACACAAUUCAUUCUAAACUCACCAAUGGAUUAAUCCACUAAUGACUAUAGUGCUCGCAUGGUCCAGUCACCUUCUGGAAGCCCCACCUCUGAACACGUGAAAAUUUGGAGAGACAUUUUAGAUCCAUUAUAAUGGUACUGGUAUAACAGUUUUUCCAGUUCAGGGGAUUGAACCCAGGACCACACACUUGCUAUAUUGCGUAUGCAUGUGCUUUUGUGGACAGAAUGUCCAGGUUGCAGAAACCAGAAGACUCUGAGUAAGUUGUGUUUAUGUAAUAAUUUCUAAAAAUGGUACAAAAUGGGAGCAUUGAAAGAUGUUGUUUUCUAGGCUGGCAAAUAGAGUCAAGUCUUAGUUCAUAAAGUUAUAGAUAGGUCAAGGCAACUAGUUAUCUAUGGACCUUCUGUACAUAAUCACAUAUUAUGUGGGCCUCAUUUAUUUCAAAUUUAUAUAGGUGCUUUGGUUGUGCACAAAAGAAGCAUGAAUAAAUCAUCUGAGUUUAAGUUAUUCAGUUAUUACAAUCAAUUUCCACAUGGAGAAACUUUUUUAUUUCCUUUUUAACUUUCAUUACACAUAAUUAGCAACCAUAACAUUCAUUGUAGGGAAUUGGUACAUGCACAUUACACAUUUCAAUUCUUGUUUCCUCUUUCCCUCCACUCCCUCUUUCAGGUAAAAUAAAAAUUUUAAUGUAAAAAUGUUUGCCAUUAUUUGGUAGUUUAAUUUUGAUUUAUUUUUACUAUAUCUCAGGCUUAAAAAAAGGAAUUGCCCUUAUUUGAGUCAUUUUGGACCAAGAAAAAUAGGAAAAAACAAUUGUAAAACCAAGCCAGGACUCAAAAUUUCUUACUGAGAUGGAAUAAAUUGUUUCCAUGUACACUUCUUUGGCUAAAGCUUAAUCACAUAGGAAAAGAAGCAAGCCAGAACAGGUAUAUAAUUCUGCUUCAGUGAAUGGUAGAGGAUACUUGAAGACUCCUUGAAGAGUACCUGGUGUUUUUCUAAAGCCUUUAGUUAAAAGUAAUUCUCAUGGCAGAGCGGCAUAUUUUGGGGUUGUAUAUUCUGUCUCCUUUCAUGAGGAACUCAUGA
ensembl:lncRNA